CCUACGGGACGCAGCAGUGAGGAAUAUUGGUCAAUGGGCGGAAGCCUGAACCAGCCAAGUCGCGUGAGGGAAUAAGGCCCUACGGGUCGUAAACCUCUUUUGCCGGGGAGCAAGGGCGGGGACGUGUCCCGGCCCGGAGAGUACCCGGAGAAAAAGCAUCGGCUAACUCCGUGCCAGCAGCCGCGGUAAUACGUAGGGGGCAAGCGUUAUCCGGAUUUACUGGGUGUAAAGGGAGCGUAGGUGGCAGGGCAAGUCAGAUGUGGAAACCCGGGGCUCAACUCCGGGAGUGCAUUUGAAACUGUCCA
rnacentral:rRNA from 1 species